GCCCCAUCCUUCCAGGCCUCUGUGCCGCAUCUGAGAGCCGUCCUUGGGCACGGGGCCAGGCACACAGUAGGCGUUUCACAAAAGUCUGAACUAAACUAGUCAUCAUCCGACGUACCCACGUUACCCCUUUGCCCUCGUUCCAAGAGCAUGGGGUUCGGGGUCCCCCUCCCCAAGGCUGGGGGAGCAUGCCCCAGUCUUCUCAGAAAUCUCAUCUCUAUCUGUAGAGUGACCCCCGCCCCCAACCCUCAGUGUUUCUGUCAGGGAGCUGUCCCUUGUACUGAAGAGAAAGGCUCCAACCCGGCCACAGGCACUUCUCCUCGGUUUUGCAGCGGGUUCCUGGGCCAGAAGGCUAAGGCGGAGUCGGGUGAGCAGGGGUUGCCAACAGCCUGGGACGCGGGGAUGACCGAGAUCUGAGCCCUUCAGGGCGCCCGCUGGGCAAGCUGCCCGCCAGGGCUCAGUCUGUCAGCUGGGGCUCAGGGCCAGAGGCGCCCUCUCGGACACCCGUACGCCCCAAUGAUAAGCAUCAAUGAAGCUCGACUGUGCAAAGCACCUUCGGUCUGACUCUUACAACCACAGCCUCUGUCCCCACUUUACAGAUGAGGAAACGGAGGCAGGCACCAGGGGGAGCCGAGUCUUCCAGGCCCACUGGGCAAGUCAUUUCAAUGUGCUCCUCUGUCAGAUGAGCUGGGCAAGGUGACCCAAAGGGGUGCCAGAGUCCAGCGUGCCUUGGACCACUGAGGGAUGCAUCCACCUAGCUCCAGCCACAUCCCAUGGCGGCUCCCUCAGAUAUGGUCACGAAGGGGCAGUCGUCUUGGACAAGAUGUGACGGGUUCCGGUAAAAAAUGGAGUGAAAGCGCUUUCGUGCACACUUAGCCCCUCAGGUCUCUUGGAGACUGAUGGCCCUUGGGGAUGGUCUGGGGGCCGCAUCCCACCGGCCCUGCCUCAGCGUGUCCCAAUCUGCCACCAUCACCCACCCCAGCUUGGGCAGCCGUGUCCCCAGGAGCAGACGCCCCUCCGAUUUCCCUUUCUCAGACACCUCAGAGAGAGCUGCCGUAUUAUUGUGGGACAGAGGUCCUUGGGCCACAGGCCCGGUUUGGAGGCCCUCUGGGCAGUCCCGAGUUGCUCUCCAGCUCUCCAGAACGGCUAGCUCCGUUCCCAGCCCCACCGAGAGUCAGUUGGCCACUCCUUAGUCCCCGUUGCCAGCCGCUUGCGCACUUCCCAGACCUUGCCUGAGACCUCCUGGUCGGCAUUAGGGGGAGUGGGAUCCCCCUUCCGCAGUCGAUCCUCAGUGUUCACGACUCGACGUCUUUAUCUCAUUUUAUCGAUCCCUUUGUUUUCACUCAGUGUCAGCAACUUCAAUCUUUCUAGUAAAAGAUCAGUCCUGGGCAGCGAUGGGAGCCUAACUUCCUACUCUCCACAGGUUCAAUGACCCCUGCAUCUCUGACCUUUGCACUACCCUGUUGCCAGUGAGGGAACCACAGAAGGUAAUAGGCUGGCAGGGACACCGGGCAAAUGGAUGCUCAACCCACAGCCUUCUUCCCUGCCCUAUAGGCCAGCUCCUUGGUGCAUAACAACCUUGCUUCAAAGCCUGGAUGGCGGGUCCCAUCCGUAACCUUUCCAGUCCUUCCCCAUCCUGUCUGCCUCUUCCUGGCGCUCUCCGGGAUUUCCACACGCUUCCUCGGCCGGUAUCUCCCCACCCCCGUCUUUUUCGGCAUCAGACAGAGGGAUCACCUUCACUGGGAUCUGGGGCUCUCGCAGACAAUAGAUUCUGGAAGUGAGUGCCCAAGGAGAGAAAACCAAGCACUUAAUAAUACAAACACGAGAUCCCACACUCCCUCCAGCACUCCAUCAUCUCCCAACGUCUUCCAGUCUCGCCAACUCCUCCAGCCCAGUCUUCUGUCCAGCUUUGGUCCAACAGCUUUCCAGGCUAACCAAGUUCUCCAAGGUCCUCCCACUACCAUCCAUUCUAUUCCCUCUUGCAUCAUUCCCUCUUCCAUUAUGACAAUAAAAAGAAAUCAAAUAGUUUA